rnacentral:rRNA from 1 species
GCUCACAUGAAGUUUCGUGCCGUUCCGACCUCGUUUGAUACGGUUAUGGUUAACCACACGGCCCCUCGGGCCCGACCCGAGCCCAGUCAACGUUUUGACCCGAUCAAAUCGGCCCGUGACCCGAAACGACCCUACUUGGGCCCUACAACAGCCACGUAAAGUUUCGGGAUGAUCCGACGUUCUUUCAUGGGGUUACGGACAAUCCACGCCAAACAAGCGUCACGGGCCGACCGAGCCGGGCCAACGGGCCCUCGGGACCCGAAAACUGAAUUUUUUUUCAUCCAAACCCAUUAAAACACGUUACCGAGGUCUCACGCAAAAUUUCAUGCCAAUCCGACGUCGUUUGAUGGGGUUUUGAGAUAUUAUGAUUCCUCAAAAAUUUAAUGUCUGUUCCUGUCACUUAGCUUUUUGUGCAAAAUGUAUAUAUAGGGGAGGGGUGGGUGUUGAGCAGCCCAUGCCCGGGCAAGGCAUGCCAGCGCCCAAGCCAAAGGAGGCUGGUGGCGUGCGUAUAACAGCUCAAAUGCCCCAACGAUGACCGAGAACAAGCGCCCAUCUCCCCUCCUUCCCCCCCACCAAGCGCCCCUCCCCCCCCAUGUUGCCUGCCCACUCGCACAGCUACUCGUGAUUUCAUGCCCAGCGACUAGUGAAUGUGCCUCGACGACCAGCAAACCUCGAAAAUUAUGAUUCCUCGUAAAAUUAAUGUCUGUUCCUGUCACUUUACUUUUUGUGCAAAAUGUAUAUAUAGGGGAGACCAGGGGCUUGAGCAACCCCUGUGCCCAAGCAAGGGUCAGAUGGAAGCACACGAGACGCGAGGUUUAAAGCCUAUACAAGCAAGGCGUCUGUCUCCCCAAGCCCCAUUGCCUAUAAAACAAGCCCGAUGCCUUGUAAAUGCCCCACACGAUGCCUAUAAACGACAACGAUGUUUGCUAGUUAAUCGAUCGACGCCCCACACCUUGCAGCAUGUUGCCUAGUAAACAAGCCAUGCUGCCUUGGAAGCGCCCCACAUCAUGGCAUGUUGCCUAGCACGCUGCCCUUGUUUCCAGCACGGCGACCUGAAAGCGUGGCCUGACGACGUGCUUGCCUUCGAAAAUUAUGAUUCCUCAAAAAAUUAAUGUCUGUUCCUGUCACUUUACUUUUUGU